CUCUAUUUCUUUUCUCGUUACGUGUCUGAACAGCAAACACUUUAAUCCACUUUUGUGUCGCAGGCAUAAGACGUGGCACGAAGAUAUCGAAUGUCCUUGAAGAAGCAAGUGGAAGAAGGGAUAGAUGGGUCGUCUGAAAGCAAUUAGCCUCGGAAACAUUUCUGGCUUGCGUCCGAGGGUCCUUUACCAACAAUGCGCCAGCGUUUUCGUUGUAUGCAAACUGUCUUUCAGUGACGAAGGGUGUCGAAUGCAUCCCUUAAACGCUACUCAUCUUCGCCUUCAUCCAUGGAACACUUUUCACGACGACCACGCUCAUCUUUCCGCCACGCGGGCCUUUCCGCCACGACGUGUAACACGUCGGAGAAAUUCAGCUGGCGAGCUUCUGGGCUUGCCGGAGGAAGGAUGUCACGACGACCGAGAGAGGAGGAGGAUCGUCGCUAACGACUCCGCGAGCCGUAGCCGCGAAAGAAGCAGCGCGGAGGAUCAAAGAGUGACAGCGACCCAUACGAAGAUCAACCCCAAUACCUAAGCCUUUGGAGGUGUGUAAGGGCGUCCCCAAGAGGACACAGUCCCCCUUUUCACGUCGACAAACGCGGGAUCGUGACUCAGCAGCGAAAUAGAAUCUCCGGAGACUCGUGCUUUUCGCUUUGGAUGGAUCUGCUGCCAACACCUUCAUGUGGGAUAUAUGCGAAAAUAGCCGGGAUCUUUCGUAGAUUUAGGGAUCCGGACACGCAUGUAUUCUCAUACGAACCAUGUCGAAUUUCAUUGCUCGCACGCGUAAAUAUUUGGAAUAUUCUGUAACCUGCAGAUCGAUCGGUCCCUGAAGACUUUAAUAUCGUCGAGCGCGUGAAAAGUAUUUUGAAUCUACUCUCUUCCUUAUUAGGACGCAGGUGGCCACCUUUUAAUAUUACAAAUUUAUUAGUUUUCUUUUGCAAUUGUUGAGAAUUGUGCAUCAAAAUUGCCGAAAUACAAGUAAAGGAAUACUCAGGCUACACUUAGAAUUUAUAUUAAAAUAGUUUUAGAUUUAUUUAAUAAACGAUUGCCAGGAUCUUCGUGGAUAUCAUUUGCACGCGUCUCAGCGCUUUCUUUGUCUCACCAUCUUCUUUACCGCGCUACCAAUGCAACAGUUGCAUUCGUCUGUUUUUCGAGACGCUGUGCACACACAUACUUCCAUACACUCAUAUUUACAUACGCGUGUCACUACUACACGGCUAAUCUA